AAAACGGUCCUUCUCAGGACCACUAUACAUACAUAGACCCCCCAAG
rfam:Acyrthosiphon pisum strain LSR1 Contig12121, whole genome shotgun sequence.